rnacentral:rRNA from 1 species
AUGUGUGGUUAUAUUCAGAUCAUCGCUGCUAUUCAUAUGCCUGUGUUGAGUGGUGUACUUACACUCUUCCCCAAAGAUGCCCCUGACAACAGGACGCUGCGUUUGUAUCUGCAGACGAAGUGCACCGGUUUUUUCACCCUGCCAGGUGACAAAGUAUCUAUGAAAACCAACGAUGUGCCGUUGUCUCUCACCCUGCCAGCUAACAAAAGGUUGGUGCUGUGGAAACAUUUCCAGCUCUCCACAAGUUACACUACUCCUGUUCUAUAUUUAGACUAUUUCGUCAUUAAUGCAGCUGAUUCAAGUCUGCACCAUGACAGAUACUUUGGCACUGCACCAAAGGUAAACAUGCUUCUUCCAUCCAGAGCCUGGGUGGUUAUGUUCAGAUCAACGCUGCUAUUCAUAUGCUCGUUUUGA